rnacentral:rRNA from 1 species
AUGGCUGUGCGGGAGAUCUUGGAGCUCUUCGGCCACGCCUCUGGCCUACGUGUGAACUACACUAAGAGCUCUGCCUCGCUGCUGCACUGUGACAUGGAUGAGGCAACGGACGUGCUCGCACACCUCGGCUGCCCCAUUGUUGAGCUACCGAUCACCUAUCUUGGGAUCCCCCUCACGAUACGACGGCCUACUGCUGCCCAGCUGCAGCCGCUAGUUGAUGGGAUCGCUGGACGGCUCCCUGCCUGGAAGGCUGGUCUGAUGUCCAAACCUGGGCGCCUCGCACUAGUGAAAUCUGUCCUGGGAGCCAUUCCAGUGCACCAGCUCCUCGCCUUUGCACCGCCAAAAAAGACUCUGCGCCAAAUUGAGAAGAUCCAGCGUGGCUUCCUAUGGGCCGGCCGCGCUACGGCAAACAGCGGUCACUGUCAUGUCAACUGGCAACGCAUCUGCCGGCCCAUCUCGCUUGGUGGUCUUAGAGUCCAGGACCUCGAGCGCACUGGCCUCGCCCUGAGACUACGAUGGCUUUGGUACUCUCGCACUGAUCAUGAGCGCGCAUGGCAUGGCCUGGACCUGCAGUUCUCUGCCGAGGAGAGGGCACUCUUGUUUGCCUCCACCACUAUGACCAUUGGAGAUGGCCAGACUGCACUUUUCUGGGAGGACCGCUGGAUAAAUGGACAGUCCAUCAGUGAAAUAGCCCCAGCCCUGUACAACUGCAUCCCCAAGCGCCGCCGCAAGACUCGAACCGUCGCUCAAGGUAUACAGGGCAACAGCUGGGCGAGCGACAUUAAAAGAAGUUGUGUUUGCAGGAAAACACAUUUCUUCAAGUUGACGUAG